GCCGGUGUGGCUCAGCGGAUAGAGUAUCAGCCUGUGGACUGAAGGGUCCCGGGUUCGAUUCCCGUCAAGGGCA
rfam:Myotis brandtii contig200505, whole genome shotgun sequence.